GAGAAUCAUUCUAGGACCAGCUCACUCAGUCAGAAGACCUCAGAGUAAACAGCUAUGAAGGCUACCCUGGUUCUGGUCUGUCUUGUGGCUGCUGCUUCGGCAAGGCCCCAGUUCGGAUUUUCAGGAUUCGGCAGCCCGUUUGGAGGAGCUAACGGCAACACCGGAGCCAACAGCGUCCAGGGGCUGAACCAGGGGCCGUUCGGCAACAGCCAGGUGCAGCAAAGCAGCGCCUUUGCCAAUGGCAACGCAUUCAACGGUGGCGCUUCUUUUAACAGCGCUAAUAGCAACGUCGGCCAGAGCUUUGGACUGUUCGGGCCACAGCAGUUCAGCAGCAACAAUGCCUUCAGUAACCAGUUCGGAGGCUAAGUCCGCACUGGUCCAUCAGUGAAUCGGAAUUCAGAAUUCAGCAACAUCAUAAAACGUCUUUUACUGAGUGAAUUUCUCGUUGUUGUUCAUAAUGAAAAGCCUGAUACAAUAUGUGCUGCUCCGACUCUUCUACAAUAACGUACUGGAGUGUUUGCUUAAAGAAACAUGUUGUUUUUCUUUGCUGGAUUUCAGCUGUCUUGCGUUCCUGGCGGUCAACAGUGUCCGUGUGUUUCAUCACAGUCAUACCUAUCAUCCUUCAAAGCGUCCGCUCUGUUACUUGACUGAGAUCAUGUUUAUUUAUUGUCUUGGGCGUGUGAAGUGAAUAUAACUAAGGUUGGAAAGGUCAAAA